rnacentral:tRNA from 1 species
CUGGGCAUAGUUCAGAGGCCAGAUCACUCCCCUCGGAAGGGAGAGACGGAGGUUCGAGUCCUCCUGCCCAGA